rnacentral:rRNA from 1 species
AGCGAACGCUGGCGGCAGGCCUAACACAUGCAAGUCGAACGAACCCUUCGGGGUUAGUGGCGGACGGGUGAGUAACACGUGGGAACGUGCCUUUAGGUUCGGAAUAACUCAGGGAAACUUGUGCUAAUACCGAAUGUGCCCUUCGGGGGAAAGAUUUAUCGCCUUUAGAGCGGCCCGCGUCUGAUUAGCUAGUUGGUGAGGUAAUGGCUCACCAAGGCUACGAUCAGUAGCUGGUCUGAGAGGAUGACCAGCCACAUUGGGACUGAGACACGGCCCAAACUCCUACGGGAGGCAGCGGUGGGGAAUCUUGCGCAAUGGGCGAAAGCCUGACGCAGCCAUGCCGCGUGGAUGAUGAAGGUCUUAGGAUUGUAAAAUCCUUUCACCGGUGAAGAUAAUGACUGUAGCCGGAGAAGAAGCCCCGGCUAACUUCGUGCCAGCCGCCGCCGUAAGAC